UACGUAGGGGCCUAGCGUUGUCCGGAAUUAUUGGGCGUAAAGAGCUCGUAGGCGGCUUGGUAAGUCGGAUGUGAAACCUCCAGGCUCAACCUGGAGUCGCCAUCCGAUACUGCCAUGGCUAGAGUCCGGUAGGGGCCCACGGAAUUCCUGGUGUAGCGGUGAAAUGCGCAGAUAUCAGGAGGAACACCGAUGGCGAAGGCAGUGGGCUGGGCCGGCACUGACGCUGAGGAGCGAAAGCGUGGGGAGCGAACAGG
rnacentral:rRNA from 1 species